rnacentral:rRNA from 1 species
UACGAAGGGGGCUAGCGUUGUUCGGAUUUACUGGGCGUAAAGCGCACGUAGGCGGAUACUUAAGUCAGGGGUGAAAUCCUGGAGCUCAACUCCAGAACUGCCUUUGAUACUGGGUAUCUCGAGUCCGGAAGAGGUGAGUGGAACUCCUAGUGUAGAGGUGGAAUUCGUAGAUAUUAGGAAGAACACCAGUGGCGAAGGCGGCUCACUGGUCCGGUACUGACGCUGAGGUGCGAAAGCGUGGGGAGCAAACAGG